GCAAGUGGUAUAGCUUGGGGACCACUGAUGAAUAUUCUUUUUUCCAAAAGAUUUAUGACUUCUGCAAUUUUUCAGCAGCUCAUUCUCUGAUUUCGGCUAGGUUGGUGUUGAGUAUUCUUCUUCUAAUUUCAUUUUCCAUGAUUGGAGUUUGGCUAGCGAUUCCUGUGAUUUACUCUGCAACUAUUUGGCUUCAAUUUAUGUAUUUUUCUGUUGACCAAUCCACAAAAGUCUCUUUGAAGUUGCGAAAAUGAAGAAGAUGAUAUGAAUUUGUAAUAUUUGUACGUAUUCUUGUGUAAUGAAUGACACUCUCUCUUAUGCUUAUGCAUUUCCAAUAAAAUUGGUUAAGAUUAUUGCUCAAAUAUAGCUUUGAGAUCGCACUCCAG
rnacentral:lncRNA from 1 species